rnacentral:lncRNA from 1 species
GAGAGAGCAUGCCCUGAACGGGCCUUAGACCUUGAAAAUAUAAUGAGGAAGUUUUCUGGUAGCUGCAGAUGCUGUGCAAAACAGAUUAAAUUCUAUCGCAUGAGACUUCAUUGCAAAUCUUGUAAGAAGUAUCAGGAUGAAUAUGAUGUUUCUUCUAUCAUUCCAAACUUUCAGAUCUCUGAAGAUUCAGUAGGGAACAGCAAUAGGAGUGAAACAUCCACAUCUGAUAACACAGAAACUUACCAAGAGAAUACAAGUUCUUCUGGUCAUCCUACUUAUAAGUGUCCCCUGUGUCAAGAAUCAAAUUUUACCAGAGAGCGUUUACUGGAUCACUCUAACAGUAAUCACUUAUUUCAGAUAGUUCCUGUGACAUGUCCUAUUUGUGUAUCUCUUCCUUGGGGAGAUCCUAGCCAGAUUACCAGAAAUUUCGUUAGUCAUCUAAAUCAGAGACAUCAGUUUGAUUAUGGAGAAUUUGUGAAUCUUCAGCUAGAUGAAGAAACUCAAUGUCAAACUGCUGUUGAAGAAUCAUUUCAAGUAAACAUCUGA